GACGAACGCUGGCGGCGUGCCUAAUACAUGCAAGUAGAACGCACAGUUUAUACCGUAGCUUGCUACACCAUAGACUGUGAGUUGCGAACGGGUGAGUAACGCGUAGGUAACCUGCAUGGUAGCGGGGGAUAACUAUUGGAAACGAUAGCUAAUACCGCAUAAUAUUGAUUAUUGCAUGAUAAUUAAUUGAAAGGUGCAAUUGCACCACUACCAGAUGGACCUGCGUUGUAUUAGCUAGUAGGUGAGGUAACGGCUCACCUAGGCGACGAUACAUAGCCGACCUGAGAGGGUGAUCGGCCACACUGGGACUGAGACACGGCCCAGACUCCUACGGGAGGCAGCAGUAGGGAAUCUUCGGCAAUGGACGAAAGUCUGACCGAGCAACGCCGCGUGAGUGAAGAAGGUUUUCGGAUCGUAAAGCUCUGUUGUAAGAGAAGAACGGGUGUGAGAGUGGAAAGUUCACACUGUGACGGUAUCUUACCAGAAAGGGACGGCUAACUACGUG
rnacentral:rRNA from 1 species